rnacentral:rRNA from 1 species
AUUGAACGCUGGCGGCAUGCUUUACACAUGCAAGUCGAACGGUAACAGGGAGCUUGCUCCGCUGACGAGUGGCGAACGGGUGAGUAAUGCGUCGGAACGUGCCGAGUAGUGGGGGAUAACGCAUCGAAAGGCGUGCUAAUACCGCAUACGAACUGAGGUUGAAAGUGGGGGACCUUCGGGCCUCACGCUAUUCGAGCGGCCGACGUCUGAUUAGCCAGUUGGUGAGGUAAAGGCUCACCAAGGCGACGAUCAGUAGCGGGUCGGAGAGGAUGAUCGGCAACACGGGGACUGAGACACGGCCCAGACUCCUACGGGAGGGAGCAGUGGGGAAUUUUGGCCAAGGGGCGCAAGCCUGAUCCAGCCAUGCCGCGUGUCUGAAGAAGGCCUUCGGGUUGUAAAGGACUUUUGUCCGGGAGCAAAUGCUGGUGGCUAACAUCCACCGGAGCUGAGAGUACCGGAAGAAUAAGCACCGGCUAACUACGUGCCAGCAGCCGCCGUAAGAC